AAAAGAAGUCUACGGAAAACAGAGAUGGAGUGCCGAGAGAGCACAAAGUACUGAGCCCAUAGGCCCAUAGGACUUCGUCUUCACUGGGCCUGCACACUGAAGUGCGGAAGCGGAGGUCACAAGGCACAAGGCCCAUCAUAGCCUCAUAGGCCAGGGCUGUUGCGACGGCCAGGGAGGGGAGAGCGUGGAAGCGGAGGAGGCGAGAUGAUCUACCGGAGAUGGUCGCUGCUCUCGUCGACGGUGGCGAUCUGGGGCGGAGCCGCCGCCGCAGGGAUCGCCGCCAGCUAUCUAUUUGGCGGCAAGGAGAAGUUGGAGGACUACAUGCUCCACGAAGGUGAUAGGCUGCGGCAGCAGGACAAGGCCACGUGGCCAACGCCAAUGGACCGUGAAAGGAAAGGACCACGAGGCAAAACUAAACGAGCAUCUCAUUUUCAUGACUUCAUCAAGACAUCAACGAUGCCUUGAGCUGGACUGGAUAUAUCUUUCGGUGCCGCCUUCUUCCAAUAAUCGCACGUCCGCGCCUGCUUUAAACAUGACGCGCUCUGGGCGUCUUCGUCCAGACUCCAGAGCACGUACCCAAUUAAUCGCGUCGCUCUUGCAGUCGCUUUGCCGGUACGGCGGCCUGAUGAGCCUCGCUUUCCGCCUCCUCAAGUGGCUCAAACCGUCAUCUUCGAACGCUAGUUUUUCUUCUUCUUCUUCUGGGCCUCGAGAACAAUGAUUCGCAUUCGCCAGCAUUAUGGACCGGGUCCCUGGUUCAGAAACGGGAAUAUUCAGAGCUCCAGGUUCGAUCGAAAUCUAACACUUUUUUUCCAGACGAAAUUGGAUGGAGUUCCGUGAA